UAAGUCACAUAGUUACUCAGAAAUCGCGUGGUAGACCUCUUCCACUUCUCUCUGUGAUUGCACUGGUUUUUGUUCGUUAAUCAUGUUCCGUUUACCUGGAGUUGAUGGAUCACCUGAUAGGGCUGCUGUGGAGGCAGAAAAGAGGAAAGCUAAACAAAAUGUUGCGUUCACAAUGAAAGUCUUUGUAACUUAUGUGGCGUUUCUACGAUUAGCUCCUUAUGCAUACAAAGCCCUUGCUGGAUAGUUAUGGUGACUUCAGGAAACCCUGUGGGACCUGGAUCCUUUCUGUUUCUUUAUUGUGGAUGUGGUUUUCUUAAGGACAAACUUCUUUAUGUUUGGUACUCUGGUUUGCUUGUGCAUCAUUUAUUUGCCAGUAUCUGAUUCUGCUUCAAUGGUGAAAUCUUGAAGACACUGCAGAGUUGAAGUAUGGUUCAGACCAGUAUAUGUUCCAAAUGACUGCAAAGUAUGGUUCAACAGAACACAAACACAUGAACUUCAUACAUCAUAGAUGAAAUGUGAAAACUGUUUUCCUGUUUUGUGUCUUGGGGAAAAGCUAAUUUUUGUUUUAGGGAUUCAGAUUUUUUUUUUUUAGCAAUGUCACUUCAUACAUUAUAAGUCAGGCAGAAAACAUUUGAGCAGAUCAGAGUUUGUGUCUGUGGAGCUGGGUGGUCUGACAGACAAAUGCUAAAAUUAAAGAUCAGAUCACUUUUUGAUAAAUACUUGUUGACUCUUAUGUUGUUUAUGAUUUACUUAACAGAUUUCAAAGAUUUUGUCUAGCUAUGAUUGCUUUUACAAACACACACACAAGUAUUUCAGAAGAAUCUUAAUCCACCAUAGCACACAUACUAAAGAAUAGUAAACUACAAUACGUGCCUUGCAGAUACAUUUUUUUAUUCUACUGAAUUUUUUUAAAAGUAGCAGACUAAAAGCUAUAGAAAAGGUUAUCAUUAGAAUUGAAUAUUUUGCAAGUAAAGAACACUUUAUCUUAGCAAUAAACUUGGACUGAAUGUUACAAUACUGUAAUGAUGAAUCUGAUUUUUCCAAAUCUUACAAACGGCAUAAUUACAUCAAUAAAAAGAGGGUAACUUUUUAACAU